rnacentral:lncRNA from 1 species
UGUUGCAAAAUAUGUGUCUCCAACAGUGGUAAAACCUCAAUAAAUAUGAUUUAACAAUUCUUUGUAUUUAAUACAUAGUUGUGCUAUUGAGCAGAAAAAAAAAUAAGGCUUAAUAAAAAGUUUGACCAUGAGGUGGGUGAGCUAGAAAAGCCAGUCUUUGACACCUGUUUAGUGAAAGGCAUGCACAAUUAAAAGUAAAUGAGAAGAAACUGGUGUUUAUUAAGAAUUCCUAAUUAUUGGUCCUGUGCUGGGUGUGAACCGGUGCUUUAUAAUCUGAUAAAGCUGUGCUGGGAGGCUUCAGGCUUAACAUUAGGGAGCUGAGAGGGUGGCCAGACGCUAUAAUCGGCUUUCUAGAGAGGUGAUUUGUGUCCCAAGCCUGUCAGUGAUAAGGGGUAUUUGCACAAUGCUCUUAAUGUGUGUUAACUCUUGGUCAGGCAGUUGGGCUGGAGGAUUGUGGUGUGUCCAUUCCAACUGAGUUUUCUGUAUUGAAGGAUAAAUGCUCAAUGAAGCUCUGCAGGCUGUUAAGAUCAAGAAGUGCAAAGUGAAAUUUAAAAUGGCUGGUGAUAUCUAGAACAGUGUGAUGAUGUACUCAGAGCUUCUGAAGUAUUCUCAGCUUGGUGUUUCACAGUUUAGAAGUUAAAGAUUUCAUGUUGUGCUCUCUGUGAGGUGAUGGGCGUACCUGUAAACAUGUGGAACUCCCGGGUCUCUGCAGUGAAGAAGUUUAGUUUGCAUAAGAAUUUGCAAAAGAAUGGUAGCAGUUCUGGAAAAGGCUUCUGAGUAUAACCUUCAACAUAGACACCAGAGACAGUACUGGCCAUGGCUAUGGAAAAUUAGCUCAUCUGACCCUUCUCAAGCAAUCAAUCAGCUGACUCUAUUGUAUUUGUUACGAGACGCCAUCACAGAUGUUCAGAGGCUGGCUGAUGAGCUGAAAAGAUCUGGGAGCCACAUGUGA